rnacentral:rRNA from 1 species
AUGGAGCCGACCUUGAAAUACCACCCUUUAAUGUUUGAUGUUCUAACGUUGACCCGUAAUCCGGGUUGCGGACAGUGUCUGGUGGGUAGUUUGACUGGGGCGGUCUCCUCCUAAAGAGUAACGGAGGAGCACGAAGGUUGGCUAAUCCUGGUCGGACAUCAGGAGGUUAGUGCAAUGGCAUAAGCCAGCUUGACUGCGAGCGUGACGGCGCGAGCAGGUGCGAAAGCAGGUCAUAGUGAUCCGGUGGUUCUGAAUGGAAGGGCCAUCGCUCAACGGAUAAAAGGUACUCCGGGGAUAACAGGCUGAUACCGCCCAAGAGUUCAUAUCGACGGCGGUGUUUGGCACCUCGAUGUCGGCUCAUCACAUCCUGGGGCUGAAGUAGGUCCCAAGGGUAUGGCUGUUCGCCAUUUAAAGUGGUACGCGAGCUGGGUUUAGAACGUCGUGAGACAGUUCGGUCCCUAUCUGCCGUGGGCGCUGGAGAACUGAGGGGGGCUGCUCCUAGUACGAGAGGACCGGAGUGGACGCAUCACUGGUGUUCGGGUUGUCAUGCCAAUGGCACUGCCCGGUAGCUAAAUGCGGAAGAGAUAAGUGCUGAAAGCAUCUAAGCACGAAACUUGCCCCGAGAUGAGUUCUCCCUGACCCUUUAAGGGUCCUGAAGGAACGUUGA